CUCUAUACGGAGUUACAAAAGAACAUGUUAGACGAAUCAUCUGGAAAGAUGAAUCAAAGAAGGUAAUAAUCCUGUAGUCGAAAACAUAUUCUCUCUUGAGUGGAUCCUGAGUACGACGGAGCACGUGAAAUUCCGUCGGAAUCUGGGAGGACCAUCUCCUAAGGCUAAAUACUCUCUAGUGACCGAUAGUGAACCAGUACCGUGAGGGAAAGGUGAAAAGUACCCCGGAAGGGGAGUGAAAGAGAACUUGAAACCGUGUGCUUACAAGUAGUCAGAGCCCGUUAAUGGGUGAUGGCGUGCCUUUUGUAGAAUGAACCGGCGAGUUACGAUCUGAUGCAAGGUUAAGCAGCAAAUGUGGAGCCGCAGCGAAAGCGAGUCUGAAUAGGGCGUUGAGUAUUUGGUCGUAGACCCGAAACCAGGUGAUCUACCCUUGGUCAGGUUGAAGUUCAGGUAACACUGAAUGGAGGACCGAACCGACUUACGUUGAAAAGUGAGCGGAUGAACUGAGGGUAGCGGAGAAAUUCCAAUCGAACUUGGAGAUAGCUGGUUCUCUCCGAAAUAGCUUUAGGGCUAGCCUCAAGUGAUGAUUAUUGGAGGUAGAGCACUGUUUGGACGAGGGGCCCCUCUCGGGUUACCGAAUUCAGACAAACUCCGAAUGCCAAUUAAUUUAACUUGGGAGUCAGAACAUGGGUGAUAAGGUCCGUGUUCGAAAGGGAAACAGCCCAGACCACCAGCUAAGGUCCCAAAAUAUAUGUUAAGUGGAAAAGGAUGUGGCGUUGCCCAGACAACUAGGAUGUUGGCUUAGAAGCAGCCAUCAUUUAAAGAGUGCGUAAUAGCUCACUAGUCGAGUGACACUGCGCCGAAAAUGUACCGGGGCUAAACAUAUUACCGAAGCUGUGGAUUGUCCUUUGGACAAUGGUAGGAGAGCGUUCUAAGGGCGUCGAAGCAUGAUCGCAAGGACAUGUGGAGCGCUUAGAAGUGAGAAUGCCGGUGUGAGUAGCGAAAGACGGGUGAGAAUCCCGUCCACCGAUUGACUAAGGUUUCCAGAGGAAGGCUCGUCCGCUCUGGGUUAGUCGGGUCCUAAGCUGAGGCCGACAGGCGUAGGCGAUGGAUAACAGGUUGAUAUUCCUGUACCACCUAGUAUCGUUUUAAUCGAUGGGGGGACGCAGUAGGAUAGGCGAAGCGUGCUGUUGGAGUGCACGUCCAAGCAGUAAGGCUGAGUGUUAGGCAAAUCCGGCACUCAUAAGGCUGAGCUGUGAUGGGGAGAGGAAAUUGUUUCCUCGAGUCGUUGAUUUCACACUGCCGAGAAAAGCCUCUAGAUAGAUAACAGGUGCCCGUACCGCAAACCGACACAGGUAGUCAAGAUGAGAAUUCUAAGGUGAGCGAGCGAACUCUCGUUAAGGAACUCGGCAAAAUGACCCCGUAACUUCGGGAGAAGGGGUGCUCUUUAGGGUUCACGCCCAGAAGAGCCGCAGUGAAUAGGCCCAAGCGACUGUUUAUCAAAAACACAGGUCUCUGCUAAACCGUAAGGUGAUGUAUAGGGGCUGACGCCUGCCCGGUGCUGGAAGGUUAAGAGGAGUGGUUAGCUUCUGCGAAGCUACGAAU
rnacentral:rRNA from 1 species